AUUGAACGCUGGCGGCAGGCCUAACACAUGCACGUCGAACGAGUGGCGGACGGGUGAGUAAUGUCUGGGACACUGCCUGAUGGAGGGGGCUAACUACUGGAAACGGUAGCUAAUACCGCAUCCCAUCGGCUGUGCCCAUAUGGGAUUAAUUAGUAGGUGGGGUAAAGGCUCACCUAGGCGACGAUCCCUCGCUGGUCUGAGAGGAUGACCAGCCACAGUGGAACUGAGACACGGUCCAGACUCCUACGGGAGGCAGCAGUGGGGAAUAUGGCACAAUGGGCGCAAGCCUGAUGCAGCCAUGCCGCGUGUAGGAAGAAGGCCUUCGGGUUGUAAAGUACUUUCAGCGGGGAGGCGUUACCCGCAGAAGAAGCACCGGCUAACUCCGUGCCAGCAGCCGCGGUAAUAC
rnacentral:rRNA from 1 species